rnacentral:rRNA from 1 species
CCCAACUAUCCCUAUUAAUCAUUACGUCAAUCCUAGAAACCAACAAAAUAGGAUCGAUCGUCCUAUUUCAUUAUUCCAUGCUAAUGUAUUCAAGCGUUAGCCUGCUUUAAACACUCUAAUUUUUUCAAAGUAACAGUCCUGUUUCCCCGCAACACCAAAUUAAUGGCAUUACGGUUCUUCAGGAAGGAGGAAUCAGUGAGACCAGUACAUACCUGAGGCACGACCAGCCUACUGACCCCGAAAUUCAACUA